rnacentral:rRNA from 1 species
UACGUAGGGGGCGAGCGUUGUCCGGAAUUAUUGGACGUAAAGAGCGUGUAGGCGGUUCGGUAAGUCUGCCGUGAAAACCUGGGGCUCAACCCCGGGCGUGCGGUGGAUACUGCCGGGCUAGAGGGUGGUAGAGGCGAGUGGAAUUCCCGGUGUAGCGGUGAAAUGCGCAGAUAUCGGGAGGAACACCAGUAGCGAAGGCGGCUCGCUGGGCCAUUCCUGACGCUGAGACGCGAAAGCUAGGGGAGCGAACAGG